UAGGGAAUCUUCCACAAUGGACGCAAGUCUGAUGGAGCAACGCCGCGUGAGUGAAGAAGGUUUUCGGAUCGUAAAGCUCUGUUGUUGGUGAAGAAGGAUAGAGGCAGUAACUGGUCUUUAUUUGACGGUAAUCAACCAGAAAGUCACGGCUAACUACGUGCCAGCAGCCGCGGUAAUACGUAGGUGGCAAGCGUUGUCCGGAUUUAUUGGGCGUAAAGCGAGCGCAGGCGGAAUGAUAAGUCUGAUGUGAAAGCCCACGGCUCAACCGUGGAACUGCAUCGGAAACUGUCAUUCUUGAGUGCAGAAGAGGAGAGUGGAAUUCCAUGUGUAGCGGUGGAAUGCGUAGAUAUAUGGAAGAACACCAGUGGCGAAGGCGGCUCUCUGGUCCGCAACUGACGCUGAGGCUCGAAAGCAUGGGUAGCGAACAGG
rnacentral:rRNA from 1 species